UACGUAGGUGGCAAGCGUUGUCCGGAAUUACUGGGCGUAAAGCGCACGUAGGCGGCUUUACAAGUCAGGGGUGAAAGCCCGCGGCUCAACCGCGGAAAUGCCCUUGAGACUGUAUCGCUUGAACACGGGAGAGGUGAGUGGAACUCCGAGUGUAGAGGUGAAAUUCGUAGAUAUUCGGAAGAACACCAGUGGCGAAGGCGGCUCACUGGCCCGGUACUGACGCUGAGGUGCGAAAGCGUGGGGAGCAAACAGG
rnacentral:rRNA from 1 species